CUCACUGCCUGCCACGCCAGUCCCUGUGUGUAUAUCUAAACAGGUUAGCACAUCUCGGGUACACAGACCACAGCUUCCUCCAUUUGCUCAGGGCCUUAGAGGUCCGAGUAUCAUGGAGAUAUUGCUUCACUUCUCCUUAGGGUGUCCACAUCGAGACCCUGGAGCCAUCUUACCAACCUUCCGGAUCAGAGGGAGUGCUUCUGGGUAAGGGUUUUUCCAGACUGACUCCUGCUUGGUGUUGCGGGACAGCCUGGAAGCCGACUCCUGGUCCCAUUCAUUGCUCUCGGUCCUCUAAGGUCAGUCACUUGAGGGGGUGUCCCUCCUCCCUGCUCCCGGCCCCACUUCCCGCUUCCAGAAGGAGCAGGCAAUCAACACUCCUGAAGUCUGACUCGAAACCCAGACCCUCGGCCACCCCUCUGGGCUGCAUUUUGCAACUCAGACCCAGGCGCGAGGUGUGUGGGGUGACGCGAGGGAGUGGGGGUGGUGGAUUUGGCAGGGCGGUCGCCGGGGCCGUGGGCUCAGCGCCGGCCACCGAAGGAGAAGGGGCUGUGCAGGGCGCGGGACCCUCUUUGGGAAACCGUGGAGCGCGCCUUGCCCCCGGAGUCGGCGCACGCCGGGGCGCGGAGAGCCGGGGCCGGGGGCUGGGGCUGGGGGGGCGGCGCGGAGCGGGGCCGCAGAGAGACCCCCCUGCCGGCUGAGCGCCGAGGCCCGCCCGUCAGUCCCGGGGAGCCGGCAGCUCCCGAGCGCCGAGAGCCGGCAACGCAAAUACCAAGAGGAAGGGAAACCAGCCCGCGCUGACAUGUAAACAGGGGAUUCCAUCUGGAGGAGCCCGCUCAGACAGACCCCCAGACACACUCACUUGCACCCCGAUCCGCCUGCAACCCAUCCACUUGCCCGCCCCAGGGCCCUCCAGGCGGGGACCCGAGCUGGUGGCGGCUGCAUCUCCCGCCCCCGUCGCCUUCGGCCUCGGGUAAGAAGAAGCCGGCCGCCGUGCCAGUGCCCGGCGCCGGGGCCAAGGCGCCCAGCUUGCCCGGGGGUGGGGGGAGUGAUGGACCCGGGGGUCCCCGGCCCCUGCCUUGGAUCUGCUCCCGGCGUCCCCAGGUUUCACGCGGACCUCCGCCCGCAGCCCGGCCCGCAGCACGUACGAGCGGGCCGGACGCGGCUUCGGGACAAGGGGUGCGGGGAGGGGGGGGAGAUCGCUGUCGGUCGUGAACCCGGAGGGUCGCGCCCGCGAGUGAGACUCGCCACCGGAGCGCGGGAGGAGACGGCGCGAAGCCGGGGCACGGAAGGAAGGGAGAGUGGCCACGUCUUCCGGGACCCCGGCGCCCAGCGCCAAGCCUGCCCGCUGCCUCGCCGCCCCGGCCGGCCCCGCCGCUCCCGCGCCCACUGCCCAGUCGCUUACCUUAAUAGUCCCGUCCAUUUGGCCAAGUCUGCAGCCGAGCCCCCCAAUAUUCCACACAUUGACCCGGUUACAGCCUGACCUCGCAGCCCCUUCGGAUUAGCCCGGCGCGGCCUCCCUGGCGCCCUGGGCCCUCCCUGCGUGCCCCCCACGAGCGCCCUGCCCUCGCUCCCCUGUGCACGUUUGUUGUUGUAGCGGAGCGAAAAAGAGACAGUUAACCGGAUGAAACUUUUUUUUCAGCUAAUUUUGGGAAGUGACUUCACUUUGCGAAUCGGGGAGGAAGUCCUAUCUCUCUCUCUCUCUCUCUCUCUCUCUCUCUCUCUCUCUGUCUCGCGCUCUCCUCUCUCUUCUCUCCCCUCUGCUCUCUCCCUCGUCUUCCCUCCCCCCACACCCCCUCUUCCUCCCCUCUGCUGGUCCUGCUUUUCGCAUCACACACACUAUAUAAAUAUACCCGGAGAUGCCCAGAUACAUUCGUGCGCAGCGCACACAGGAUACUUGCUCCUGGGAGAUAAGAGAGAGCUGGGAACAAUGCCGGGGUCCACGCCCGGCGCCCGCGUCCUGAUUCCCGCAGUCUGCACCCCCACCCCCAACACCUUCCCCCAAAGUCCAAAACCAAACGCCUUUGGCCUCCUUCCUUUUCCCGGGGCCGUUGGCCGAAGGUGGCCCUCUUGACUCAUUCCCUUUCCGUUUCUUCCCACAGAUAGGUUCAUUAAUGCUUUUUCCAGCCGGAGUAAACUUAUGGGGGGGGGGGGGUUCAGUUUACUCGGGCUGGGGAUAACCUGGAGCCUACUGCCCGGGAAGAUCCGGACUCAGACCGAAGGAAACCGACCAUUAAAAAAAUGCAUCCAAUGGGAAUUUUUCCACUCGGGCCCUCGGCUGCCGAGUCGCGGCAGACUCAGGGAGCUAUUUCACCGGCCGACGCGGACUCGGGGCAGUUUCGGAAGGACCCCACCAUCGGGGGCGAGGACUAGGCUCCCAGUGCAUUGUUAGCAGAAGGGCGCCCUCCGGGCGGCGCGCCUCGGCCCUUUGCUCCUGGAGAGCUCCCGGCGCCCGCCCAGGGCCGGGACCGGCAGCACCAUAGGCCACCUCUCCGCGCCUUCUAGGGUCCAACCCCUCGCACUUCACCUGGACCAGAUGUCCCAAGUCCCAGCGUUCGGCCAGAGCCGCCUAUGCAAUGCUACUCCAAGCCCCAAGAAACCUACGCUGCCGCGGGACGUUCCCUCCACACUGGUCAACAGGUCUGCAGAGCGCAGCACUCAAGAUCGCGGCACCGUCAUCCCCACCCAGCCGUGAGGCCAGCCGACUUUUGGCCCGCCUUGUCGGCCCCCGCCACCCAGAGACCUCCCCCGUCUUUCUGCAGGGCCGCCGCCGAUCCCUCCAGUUGGGGCAGCCUCAGGAGUCCGGGGCGCAGCGAGGAGACAUUCCCCCCACCCCACUCCUCCCCCAGGCGCUCUCGGCCUGACUCCCUUCUCCCCAACCUCCCAAACAGGUUACCUUGUCCACGCUCUCCAGACCACGCUUUGGACUUUUUCACUUUUAUUUAAGAGUCCACCCGGGGAAGGAGGAAAAAAAAAUCCAGAGGAGAUCCGAGUCAAUUGGAAAGAAAAAAAAAUUCAAAAGGGUGUCCACAGCGGCGAAAAAGCCCAGACUCUGCCGACCUUCAAACGACAACAGGGCUUUCAGGAGGGUGCGGGGAGACCACUUCCCACCCGAACCUGGCCAGAAACCCGGCACCCCCAGCCACAUCGGCCUCUUUCGGGCAGAAGGGAUUCCAACUCCACCACCUGGAGGCCCCCUUCCGGGUCCUGGGCAAACACUGAGGUUGCUAAUGGCCACCCCACUGGAGCCGCUACUCCCCCUUCCUGACGUACUCCUCCAAGUGCUUGAGAAGGCUCCUCUAUGGCAAAAAUGUAGUGUAGGUCUCUCUUCCCAACUUCUAUUGUGCCUGGCAAAGAUCCCGUUACCUUCACUGCACUGAUCAGUACAGUCACCCUAGUAAGCCUAGCACCCCCAAUUCCUUGCAGCAGCAGCUGUGUCUCCCAUUGGGAGUUGCUCAAUAUGCAACUAGAUUAAACUGAGGACUUGCCCUCCUGUUUUCACCAUGGA